CCUCGUCGCCAUCCUCGUCGUGCUUACGUUUUCCCAAAGAGGAGUGCCUAUUCUCUUUGUUUAUGGCGCCAUUACGCGUACUUGUCAUAAGUCUGUGCUAAUCGAUCGAGCGUGGAUGAACCGUUGGACCAGCGAGUUUAUCACCUUCCUUCUCGGUACUUUCAGAUAGAGAAUGCAUCGAGAGGAAAGGCAAGCUCGAGCUGGCGGAACGAGGCGAUGAGAGCUCUGAAUGGAGUCCGAGGAAGCUUCGGAGCCCCCUGGGGCUCGAACGUCUUACGUGCCAUCGUCGUCGUCGCCGUCGUCGUCAGGGUUCAAGCAGCCAGCAGCAGCCCAACGCGAAACCUCGACCUGAUCCGCCGCCGAUUUUCAAAGCGAACGUGAGCCAAAGAAGAUAGAAGAGAAGAAGGUGCAUAUACAUAUAUAUAUAUAUCGCUGUGUUCGAUUCGAAUCGAUCGGAUUUGGAAAGAAAAAUAGACGGACGGAUAAGCCUAUUAUACGUAUAGAAAUACAUAAAGUAGAUAGACAAAUUGACGCAUGAUAAAACGGCCUUAGAAAGUGUUUUCCUUUCGCUGACAACGACGCUGAAGGAAUAAGGGGACGCGCGGUAAGAAUCGAAUUAAUAUGACGUCGGAUCUAAUUUCGUUGAUCGGUGAAUGCGCAGCUACCGCGUGGGAGAGAGAAAGUCAUAGAAAAGAAAAACAAAGCGCCUCGCACGAGAAAAAUAGGUAAUGUCUUUGUGGGAAAAGUAUAUAGAAAAUACUUGUAAGAUAUAGAAAUUUUGUGUAGUAAUUAAAAUUUGUCCGCGCGCAGCAGGUUCGUAGUGGAGCCAACGUAAAAAGUCUUAGAAAGAUCUAAAAUCGCGUAAAGAACGUAGGCGAUAAAAAGGAAGAAGGAAACAUGGCGGCGCCAGUGAUAGAGAAAAAGCGAUUCUUUUGUCGCGAGUGGGCGUUCAUGAAGCUGGCCCAUUGUUUGGAACAACGGCCCGCAUCGAAGACCUGUGGUACGUUGGUUCUCGGCGGCCCGGGAAGCGGAAAAACGGCUUUCUGUGCCGAACUCGCGUGGCCCUCGAACGGCUCGAACGCGAGGCAUCAAAGGGCUUUGAAUCGUCGUCUCUUGGCGAGGCAUUUUUGUCAAGCUAGAAGCGAAGCGUCCCUUUCGCCGGCCCAAUUCGUUAGAUCUUUGGUAGCGCAAUUACUUCAAGCCAGUUCCGAUGGCAUUCGUCGCGCCGCCCCGGACUCUCCGACGACGACGACGACGACGACGACGACGGCAACGGUGAACGCGGCCAAUCCUACGACGGCAACAACGACGGCCGCGACUACGACUACCGCUACGACGACGACGACGACGACGACGACUACGACGACGACGACGAACAACCCAACGACGAACAACCCGACGAUCAUAGCCUUAACCUCGAGAGAAGCCGUAGCCGAGGCCUACGCCGAAAAGUUGAGAACGGAUCCGGAGAUUCAGGCCGCUUUGGAACCCGACGUCCUCGAUCGUGAUCCGGACGACGCGUUGAAGAAGGCGUUGCUCUUUCCUCUUCUAGAGGUAGAACCUCCCAAAAGUUGCCUCUUCGUCAUGGUCGACUCCAUCGACGAGGGACAAAUGCUCAAUCCUCCUCAAACCGGUACCAGAGAUUCUAGAAGAGAAAACGAUAACGUCAGUCGUACCAUCGCCGAACUGCUUGCCAAUCAUCAUCACCUCUUUCCGCAGUGGUUGCUUCUAGUAUGUACAGCGCGACGUCAUAGCAAGACCAUCUCGCGUAUGUUUGCCGGAUUUCGUAAGAUAUGUUUGGACGAUUUGAAAAAGUCUCAAGUGGUCAGGGACGUCCAGCAGUAUAUACUCGAACGUCUGGAUCAAGAGGAUACUCUCAGGUGGGUGGGUGCCGCCUUCGGCAGGCAACACAUCUCUCGCGAUACAGCGGAGAUGCUGAAUCAGCUACACAUCAAAAGCAACGGCUGCUUCUUGUACCUGGAAAAAGUGUUGGACGGUGUAGCCGAGAACUUUAUCGUUCUUAGAGAAGUUCGAGAAAUACCGGGAACGUUAAACGGUCUUUAUCUCUGGUUGUGUCAAAGGCUCUUUAGCAGGAAACAGUUCGCCAAGGUGCAACCCCUGUUGAACGUCAUUCUCGCCGCCAAAUUGCCCAUCACGCAAGAGAUACUUUACAAAUGUGUAAGAACAGCGUGCGUUAAUAUCACCGUCGAAGACUUCAAUCGUCGCUUGCAUCUCUUGCGAAGAGUCAUAUCGGUAUCCCGAGCCGGUGCUUUGAUGCUCUUUCAUCACAGUUUCGCCGAAUGGCUGUUGGACGUGAAACAUUGCACCCAAAAGUAUCUUUGCUCGGCCAUCGAAGGCCACGCCAUGCUGGCGGGCUACUACUCUCUUCGCGGACCCGAACUUAACCCGGACGAGAUUUGCGUGCUGGGACAGCACCUACAGCGAGCGAUAACGAACGCGACGACGAGCAAUUGUACCCUAGACGUUCACACCCUUCAAGUGCUUUGGAUGAUAGGUACCGCUGCCCCGGUCGAAGAAUGUUACUUGGAUAGUUCCGAAUGCAUAUUGUGGCCACGACAAGAAGUUAAACUUUUGAGGCUUCUUAUAGACGCGGGCGCCAAAUUAUCGGAAAAGAUCGUCGAGGACGAUGCCAGUAAGGACGCCGUUUCUUCUAGUCAGGUCUCGCAGGACGCGAGCCCCAUGGACGAAUCCCCGAGUGAACCAUUAACCGAGUUACUCGGCGAGAGCGGUGACAUCAAUCAAACGGACUCUUGCGGUAGAACGGUAUUGCACACGCUUGCUGCGGAUGGCAACGCGUCCUUGUUAGAACUCGCUCUUGCAGCUUGUCCGCAUGCAAAAUUGGAAGGCACGGACCGUCACGGACAAACGCCAUUGAAUUUAGCUGCCAGACACGGUUACGCGGACGUCGUACGAGUACUUUUAGCUGCAGGCGCGAACUCGGACCAUGCGGAUUGCGAUGGUUGGACUGCAUUGAGAGCCGCCGCAUGGGGUGGACACACUCAGGUGGUAGAACAGCUUUUGGAGUAUGGGGCGAUGGUCGAUUGCGCCGACUGGGAUCAAAGGACGGCACUGAGAGCUGCCGCCUGGGGCGGCCACGAAGAUAUCGUGAAAGCUUUGCUACAGCAUGGCGCCGAUGUCAAUAGAACGGACGACGAAGGUAGAACCGCCUUGAUCGCUGCAGCUUACAUGGGUCAUAGCGAGAUAGUAGAACAUCUUCUCGACUUUGGGGCGAAAAUCGAUCACGCGGACAGCGAUGGUAGAACGGCACUGAGCGUUGCAGCCUUAUGCGUUCCAUCUAACCACGGUUAUGCCAAGGUCGUUACGAUACUUUUAGAAAGAGGAGCCGCGGUAGAUCAUCAAGACAAGGAUGGCAUGACACCGCUAUUGGUGGCUGCCUUCGAAGGUCACAGAGACGUGUGCGAAUUGCUCUUGGAAUACGAAGCAGACGUGGAUCAUUGCGAUGCGACGGGAAGAACGCCUCUUUGGGCUGCGGCCAGCAUGGGUCACGGAUCUGUCGUUGCUCUGUUAUUAUUCUGGGGCUGUUACGUAGAUAGUAUAGACAACGAAGGUAGAACUGUACUGAGCGUUGCUGCCGCGCAAGGCGAUACGGAUGUUGUCAAACAAUUACUCGACAGAGGCCUUGACGAACAACACAGAGACAAUUCUGGCUGGACACCGUUGCAUUAUGCAGCCUUCGAAGGUCACAUAGACGUUUGCGAAGCAUUGCUCGAGGCCGGAGCAAAAAUCGACGAAACCGAUAACGAUGGAAAAGGUGCUCUAAUGCUUGCCGCGCAAGAAGGACACGCUUCCUUGGUGGAAAGACUCUUGGUGCAGCAUGGUGCACCUAUCGAUCAACACGCUCACGAUGGAAAAACUGCAUUGAGACUCGCGGCUCUAGAGGGACAUUACGACACAGUUAGAAUACUGUUAGGCUACAAAGCGGAUGUAAACGCCAAAGAUGCCGAUGGCAGGAGUACUUUGUACAUUCUUGCCUUGGAAAAUAGAUUAGCGAUGGCGCGAUUUCUGUUGGAACACGCACCCGCUGAUGUCGAAGGUAGAGAUUCCGAAGGCAGAACUCCUUUGCAUGUAAGCGCCUGGCAAGGACACGUAGAGAUGGUUGCAUUAUUGUUGACGAAAGGAAAUGCAAGCGUAAACGCGUGUGACAAUGAAAAUAGAACGCCUCUUCACUCUGCAGCGUGGCAGGGACAUGCAGCGAUCGUCAGACUACUAUUGGAACACGGGGCAACACCCGAUCAUACUUGCAAUCAAGGUGCAACGGCUUUAGGUAUUGCCGCACAAGAAGGACACGAACAUUGCGUUCGAGCUCUUUUGAAUCAUGGGGCUGACCCAAGUCAUUCGGAUCACUGUGGUAGAAAUGCGAUCAAAGUUGCAGCUAAAAGCGGUCAUGACACGGUAGUAAGAUUACUCGAAGAACACGCUGCGAACCAACGAAGCUUGAAACCUACGAUCAAUGGAGGUGGUGGUGGUAGUAGCAGCGCUACUUCCAUAACGUCUAAUUCGACCGCCGAAACGAAACCUUCCUCGGCAAUAUUAAAUCCUCUCUCAACGCAAUAUAGCCCCGCGGAAUCGCCAGAUUCUACCAAAAGAAGAAGCUGCGUUUCUUUGGGCAAUAAUUCGAGCAACAGCAAGUCGAGCAGCAAUUUGACUGGAAGCACUAAGAGCGAUCAAGGAAAAUUCAAUCAAAACUCUAUGGCUAAUCAAGUGAUUAAGGUUGCACAAAAGACUACAUCUCAGAGGAACUCUACAAAUCGUUACUAUGGGUGGCGCAUUCUUAUUACCAAGAAGAGAAAGUCAAUACAUAAAUUUUUCUCCUUUUAUUUGAGCAAAAUCAAAUUACCUCAAAUAAAAAAGUGAAGGAAAGUCGAGAAAUCUUUAAUUUAAUGCAAAGCGUAAAAUGUUGCAUAGUACACAAAACCAAAUAUAAAACUGCAUAGUGAAGUAUGUAGUCCUAGAAUCGUAAUUUUAAAGGAUGGUUAGAUAUUGAGAUUUUCUUCAGAAGACUGGAUGCGAAUAAAACGCAUAUGUGAUGUUUUAAUGGAUAAUAUAAAAACAAUGCAGAAUUGUAAAGAUAUGUAUAAAUAAUAUUGAAAUAUAGAAAAGGAUGAUAUGUUACACAAUUAAAAAUACGUAAAAUAUGGCCUGGAAAUUAAAAGCAUGUGUAAAUACACAUUCUUUAUGUAUUGUGCACGAUCAUAUUUAUUGUAUUUAUACUGUAUUAGGUGCGCAAAAUAAAUAAAAAAUAAACUUCUAAUUGUAUUAAUUUGUAAAUCGUUAACCAUAAAUUCAAACGACAAA
rnacentral:misc_RNA from 1 species